rnacentral:rRNA from 1 species
CGGGUGGUAAUGCCGGAUGUUCCACAUGAUCGCAUGUGAUUGUGGGAAAGAUUCUAUCGGCGUGGGAUGGGGUCGCGUCCUAUCAGCUUGUUGGUGAGGUAACGGCUCACCAAGGCUUCGACGGGUAGCCGGCCUGAGAGGGCGACCGGCCACAUUGGGACUGAGAUACGGCCCAGACUCCUACGGGAGGCAGCAGUGGGGAAUAUUGCACAAUGGGCGCAAGCCUGAUGCAGCGACGCCGCGUGAGGGAUGGAGGCCUUCGGGUUGUAAACCUCUUUUGUUUGGGAGCAAGCCUUCGGGUGAGUGUACCUUUCGAAUAAGCGCCGGCUAACUACGUGCCAGCAGCCGCGGUAAUACGUAGGGCGCAAGCGUUAUCCGGAUUUAUUGGGCGUAAAGGGCUCGUAGGCGGCUCGUCGCGUCCGGUGUGAAAGUCCAUCGCUUAACGGUGGAUCUGCGCCGGGUACGGGCGGGCUGGAGUGCGGUAGGGGAGACUGGAAUUCCCGGUGUAACGGUGGAAUGUGUAGAUA